UUGAAUAUCAGGCCAGCGAUGGUCGUGCCAGUCUUCCUGGCGUUUGGCGCACUGUACCCCUUCUCUGAUAAGUUUGCUUCAAGAACAGCAUUUCUAACACCACAAACGUGCAAAACAUAACAGCAUGAAUAUGAUCUCAUCAGCCAACUGAGGGGUUUUGAUCAAGUGAUGCUCUUGAAAGGAGUGAAAGAAGAGGAUGUGGUUAAUUGGCUUGAAAAAAACAUCUCAAAAGGUCUUAAAACAGCUUGAAGAAUGGUCUGGGAUGUUAGGACUGAGAGAUCCUCUGGCUGAGAAAAGCUACACCACAUCAGUGCUGGAUAUCAAUCACAAACUGUUUACAGACAUGAGAGAAGAAGAUCACGAUGGGGAGAUGAAACCAGUUUAGUUGUGAUGAUAAGGAAUCAUUAUUUUCUGAAACAGUAUCCAAUGUCUUAUAUGUAUCACAAUAUGUAUCACAGUUGACUGGAUGAGAUUGUGUGACUUUUAAGGACAUUUUUAUCACUCAUCUGUGUGAACUGAUUAAUAUAUGAGGUUAAUGUAUUUUUGAUGAUAAUUAUUUUCCUUGAAUCUUAUUUGUCUUGAUGCUACAUUAUCAAAUUUAUAGUCUAUGCUUCAAUAAAAUGAAUAUAGUGAAUAUUAUGUUCUGAAGAUUCUUGGUAAAUACAUCAUUUUACUAGGUAGGCUCAUAUGUGUUUAUUUUAGACUUGGAAAAACAACAUAUUAUUAAUGAUCAGGAUUAUUUUUUACUUAAGACAUACACGUGAUCACAUUAAUGCAUCUGGGACAUCAAUACACCAGAAAUUUAUUAUUGUUUAUAUUUAGUAACAAAUAUGC